GGCUUGUUGGUCUAGGGUUAUGAUUUCCGCUUAUCAUGCGGGAGGUCCCGGGUUCAAAUCCCGGACGAGCCC